rnacentral:rRNA from 1 species
AUGCCGCACCCGGACGAGCGCGUGGAGUACGAGCUCUGGACCAUCAGCAACGACGAGUGCAGCCCCCGGUGCGGCGAGCAGGUGGCCUUCGUCCGGAGCUUCCGGGGGCACGCCCAGAUCCUGGAGCGCGGCGGCUACGCCCGGUUCACGCCGCACUACAUCACCUGUUACUGCCCCGAGGCGUUCCGGCUCACGCGGCAGUGCCAGUCGCAGUGCAUCAACCACGGCCGGUACUGCGCGCCGGACCGGGAGGAGGACUUCGGGGAGGGGUACGAGGGGAAGCAGGUGGUGGUGGAGAACCUGCGGCAGCUGUGCGUGCACCGGGUGGCGAACGAGAGCGGGCGGCCGUGGGCGUGGUGGGACUUCGCCAUGGACUACAAGCUGCGGUGCUCCAUGAAGGAGAAGAAGUACAGCAAGGCGUGCGCGGAGGAGGUGGUGGCAUCGCUGGGGCUCUCGCUGGAGAAGGUGCUGGCGUGCGUGGGCGACCCCGACGCCGACGCCGACAACGCCGUGCUGUCCAAGGAGCAGGAGGACCAGAUCGGGCGCGGGUCAAGGGGGGACGUCACCAUCCUGCCCACGCUCGUCAUCAACGACGUCCAGUACAGAGAUAUGGCUGGCAUAUAUGGUAUCAGGCAUUUUGUCCUGAGCAUAAUGAGGUCACUAUCCUUGAGUUAA